UACGGGGGGAGCAAGCGUUGUUCGGAUUUACUGGGCGUAAAGCGCACGUAGGCGGCUUUCUAAGUCGGGGGUGAAAUCCUGGAGCUCAACUCCAGAACUGCCUUCGAUACUGGAAAGCUCGAGUCCGGGAGAGGUGAGUGGAACUGCGAGUGUAGAGGUGAAAUUCGUAGAUAUUCGCAAGAACACCAGUGGCGAAGGCGGCUCACUGGCCCGGUACUGACGCUGAGGUGCGAAAGCGUGGGGAGCAAACAGG
rnacentral:rRNA from 1 species